GGAGUCUUAGCUCAGUGGUACGAGCGAAGGAUUGCAGAUCCUUAGGUCGCCGGUUCGAUCCCGGCAGGCUCCU